CAAUGUUGGCUUUAUUUAUGUUAUCUGGAUUUGUUCUAAUGAACAAAUCUGGUUUGAAGAAUGUGUUUGAAAAUUGUCAAAUAUCAGGACCCGGUUUUUAUCAUUUUAGGGAGGGAGGAACGAGAUCCCAAUGAUGAGAAAAGAAAUUUAAACGCAUUGAUGGGUGAUUCAAAGUAGAAAGCGUUCUUUAUCUUUUGUUUUAAAACUGUGGAGAUUGUAAUUUUUUUUCUUAAGGAAUUGAUUAGAUUUGUAUUUUUGUUCUUUUUUUCUUUUCUGUAAAGACUAUAAUUUACUUAAGAAAUGAUGUAAAAUGAAUUCUCUGAUAUAAUAAAAUUUAAUUAUUUUCUUAA